rnacentral:rRNA from 1 species
UACGUAGGGGUCGAGCGUUGUCCGGACUUACUGGGCGUAAAGCGUGGGUAGGUGGUCGGGGAUGUGCCGUGUGAAAGCCCCGCGUUCAUCGGGGGGAGGUCGCGGUAGACACAUCGACUUGAGGCAUACAGAGGGCCGUGGAAUUCCCGGUGUAGUGGUGAAAUGCGUAGAUAUCAGGAGGAACACCGGUGGCGAAGGCGCACAUCUGGCCCAAUACUGACGCUAAAGCGCGAAAGCUAGGGGAGCAAACGGG